rnacentral:siRNA from 1 species
UAACCUAAGAAUGCCGCUAU